UACGUAGGGUCCGAGCGUUGUCCGGAAUUACUGGGCGUAAAGAGCUCGUAGGUGGUUUGUCGCGUUGUCCGUGAAAUUCCCUGGCUUAACUGGGGGCGUGCGGGCGAUACGGGCAAACUGGAGUACUGCAGGGGAGACUGGAAUUCCUGGUGUAGCGGUGGAAUGCGCAGAUAGUCAGGAGGAACACCGGUGGCGAAGGC
rnacentral:rRNA from 1 species